CCAAUAGCGUAUAUUAAAGUUGUUGCAGUUAAAAAGCUCGUAGUUGAAUUUCGGGAUUGGCGUGUCGGUCGUGCCUUAAGGGGUAUGAACUGGCGUCGUCGACUUCUCACCUUCUGGAGAAUCACGAUGCCCUUAAUUGGGUGUCGUGUGGAACCAGGACCUUUACCUUGAAAAAAUUAGAGUGUUUAAAGCAGGCAUUUUUGCUCGAAUACAUUAGCAUGGAAUAAUAGAAUAGGACGGUUUGGUUCUAUUUUGUUGGUUUCUAGGAUCACCGUAAUGAUUAAUAGGGAUAGUUGGGGGCAUUAGUAUUCAAUUGUCAGAGGUGAAAUUCUUGGAUUUAUUGAAGACUAACUACUGCGAAAGCAUUUGCCAAGGAUGUUUUCAUUAAUCAAGAACGAAAGUUAGGGGAUCGAAGACGAUCAGAUACCGUCGUAGUCUUAACCAUAAACUAUGCCGACUAGGAAUCAGACGAUGUUAAUUUUUUAAUGACUCGUUUGGCACCUUACG
rnacentral:rRNA from 1 species